rnacentral:rRNA from 2 species
CACCGCGGUUAUACGAGAGGCCCAAGUUAACAGACACCGGCGUAAAGCGUGGUCAAGGACAUAUUCAACUAAAGUCGAACAUCCCCCUGGCUGUUAUACGCACUCGAAGGAAUGAAGCCCCUCCACGAAAGUGACUCUACAAUUACCUGACCCCACGACAACUAAGAAA